rnacentral:rRNA from 1 species
CAGAAUUGACAGCUCGGUGAACACCUGCUGAUCUCGUCAGAUCUUCUUAACUAAGCAAGGCUGGGCCUGGUCAGUACUGGAAUGGGAGACCUCUAAGAUAAACCAGGUUUCUAUUUUGU